rnacentral:rRNA from 1 species
AAACCGGGGCUAAUACCGGAUGGUUGUCUGAACCGCAUGGUUCAGACAUAAAAGGUGGCUUCGGCUACCACUUACAGAUGGACCCGCGGCGCAUUAGCUAGUUGGUGAGGUAACGGCUCACCAAGGCGACGAUGCGUAGCCGACCUGAGAGGGUGAUCGGCCACACUGGGACUGAGACACGGCCCAGACUCCUACGGGAGGCAGCAGUAGGGAAUCUUCCGCAAUGGACGAAAGUCUGACGGAGCAACGCCGCGUGAGUGAUGAAGGUUUUCGGAUCGUAAAGCUCUGUUGUUAGGGAAGAACAAGUGCCGUUCAAAUAGGGCGGCACCUUGACGGUACCUAACCAGAAAGCCACGGCUAACUACGUGCCAGCAGCCGCGGUAAUACGUAGGUGGCAAGCGUUGUCCGGAAUUAUUGGGCGUAAAGGGCUCGCAGGCGGUUUCUUAAGUCUGAUGUGAAAGCCCCCGGCUCAACCGGGGAGGGUCAUUGGAAACUGGGGAACUUGAGUGCAGAAGAGGA